UUCUCCAGCCUCACUAUGUAACUGAAGUCCCUCAUCCUUGGUACCAUUCUAGUGAAUCUACUCUGCAUCCUCUCAAGGCCUUGGCAACCUUCCGAAAGUGUGGUGCCCAGAAUUGGAAACAAUAUUCCAGCUGAGGUCAAACCAGUGUUUUAUAAAGGUAGAUUUUGUGGAGAAGAAUUCCGAUGAUAACGAGAGAGAUGAAGAGCAGAAUGCCUAGUGGGACUCCGAGGGCUGCCAUGUGUUUGGCUUCAUAUAUUAGCCUUGGGUUUACUGCGCUGUUUACUGGCAAACCUGGAAAACAACAUUUUAUUUAAACAGAAGGGAAAGAACUCCAGAGAGAGACAGAGAACUGGGGGCUGGCCCUCAGUUGGUAGUCACCUUCAUGGCCACUGGCAAAGUGUGCCCACCAGUCCACAGCAAAGGAGCUCUCGUUCCAGGAGGAUGCAGAUUUCAGCCGUGACCUGCUGUGAGAGACUGAGCCACCUGAGGCAGUGGUGCUUACACACAUCGAGAGACUGUAGACCCUGUAUUGGGGUCUCAUUUCUUUGGAUCUGGAUCUCCUUGUCAAUCUGCUGUUGGUAUUGCUCCUACUGCACCUGGAGCUUUUGGUAUUGGCAUUGCUGCUCAUUGGAUGUGCAAGGAAGAGCUGCAUGAGUAGCGGCUAUGCUGCAGUGAGGGCUGGCAGCAGGAUGUUCAGCUCAAAAAGCUGGAAAGCAACUUAAAAGCAGUGAAAUUAUGCUUUCAGAAGAUGUCCAUUGAGCACAAACCUUUCACAUAGGCAGGCUGUCAGGAUGAGAUAUUAAUAUAUAUAAUGUUAUUGGAAAUUAUUAUUUUUUAAAAUAGCGGUUUAGUCUGUAUGUGUGUUAAUUGGAUUAAAGCCAGUUAGUCUGGGAUGGAAGUCUUUGUGUCUUUGAUGUAUAGUAGUUUUGAGGUGUAAACAGUAGGUAGAGGGGAUAUUUGCAUUUUGUUGAAUAAAGCAUUUGAGAGUGGGAGUGAAUCUUGCACCUAGCUAGGUGACACCAAGCAAUAUGUUCAUAUUACCAGUAAAAUUGGUACCA